UACUUGAUGACUUCCACAGAAGAUAAAUAUUAGUGUUUCCGUUCUUAGUUACAAUCCUGAAAAAAAAGAAAAAAAAAAAGCAAUGCUUAAAUCAGUGAAAUUAAAGUCAGUAUUCCCUAGGAAGCAGGAUGAUGGCCAGCUUGUGCCUUUGGUUAUAUGGUAGUCCUCUCCUUGGAAUGCUCUGAAGAAAGGACGAUUCAGUACUGGAAAGAAAUGGUGGACCCUAUGGCUUACACCCAGCCAAACACUUAUGGCAUCCAUUUCAUAGGAUGCAUUGAAGUAUGUCUGUGGGUGUUCUUUGGAAGCAUAAAACAGACUAAGAUGCUCAACAGAUAAAGUGGCCCUACACAUCUGUCCACAUAUGUGCCAGGGAAGGUUUAAAGGACUCUGUACCACUGAGAUAUAUAAUAAGAUAAGCUGUAUACAGGACAAUUUAGAAAAGCAAGAGUUAAUGCUGUCUCUGGAAAGCAGGUGCAGGCCCUAUCAUGCCCUGGAGCAGUGGCUCAGCCUGUUGAACAGAAAAGGAGAAUUCCACUUGAUGAUGAGAAGAAAUAAAUCAGUUGGAGAAGGAAGUAGCUUGUGGCUCCUUGAGGAUUUUUCUAUUCUUCCAGCCUUCUCAUUCAAACAGAUAAAAGAGCAAGAUGAGUCCUUGGGCAAACCACAAAUAAAUGGGAAUAGUUAUGUAACUAGAAUCAUAGAAUCCUUAGAGUUGGAAGGGAUCUUUAAAGGUCAUCUAGUCCAACUCUCCUGCAAUGAACAGGGACAUCCACAGCUCGAUCAGGUGUUGCCCAAAGCCUGAUUCAGCCUCAUCCAGGGAUCAAACGCAUCGCUAGGCAACCUGUUCCAGUGCUUCAGCACCUCACUGUAGAAGAUUUUGUCUGUAUGUCCAACUCAAAUCUACCCUCUUUAAGCUUGAAGCCAUUUCCCCUUGUACUAUCACCACAGACCAUGCUAAAGAGUGUGCCCCUUUCUUUCCUGUAGAUCCCCUUUAGAUACUGAAAGACUGCUCUCAGGUCACCUCAAAGCUUCCUCUUCUCCAGGCUGAAUAACCCCAGGUUUCUCAGCCUUGUAGGAAAGAUGUUCCAUCUCUUGAAUAAUUUUUGUGGCCCUCCUCUGGAUACUCUCCAUCAGGUCCAUAUCUCUUAUGUACUGAGGACUCCACAUCUGGAUGCAGUACUCCAGGUGAAGUCUCACAAUGCAGAGCAGAGGAGCAAGAUCACCUUCCUCGACCUGCUGGCCAUGCUUCUUUUAAUUCAUCCCAGGAUACGAUUGGCUUUCUGGACUGUGAGGUCACAUUGCUGGCUCACGUCCAGCUUACCAUCCAGCAGUACACACAGUUUUUUUUUGGCAGGGCUGCACUCAAUCCUUUCAUCCCCCUGAUUUUAUUGGUAGUAAAGGUUGCCAUAACACAGGUGCAAAAUCUUGCACUUGGAUUUGUUAAACUUCUUGGGGUUCAACUGCAGUUCCACUGCUCAAGACUGUCUGGGUCCCUCUGGAUGGCAUCCCAUCCUUUUGGUGUGUUGACUGCACCCCACAGACUGGUGUAAUCAGCAAACUUGCU